CGACUAGAUGCACGAACCAAGUUGUUGAACCCCAAAUGGUAUGAAGGAAUGAUGUCCAGUGGAUAUGAAGGGGUUCGCGAAAUUGAGAAGCGCCUUACAAAUACUGUAGGGUGGAGUGCAACUUCGGGGCAAGUGGAUAACUGGGUGUAUGAAGAGGCUAAUUCAACUUUCAUUCAAGAUGAGAACAUGUUGAGCAGGCUGAUGAACACCAAUCCCAACUCGUUCAGGAAGUUGAUUCAAACAUUCUUGGAGGCCAACGGACGUGGCUAUUGGGAAACUUCGGAGGAGAAUAUUGAGAAGUUGAGGCAGUUGUAUUCAGAAGUCGAAGAUAAGAUUGAAGGUAUUGAUCGAUGAACCGUAAACCAAAUAGCUUCUAAAAUGGCAAAUAUUUGAUGACUUACUUGAGC
rnacentral:lncRNA from 1 species